AUGGAACUUCUUAGGGCAGCAAUGGAUAAACUGACUCCUUUAGCUGCUGAGCAUGAUGGUCUGGGUUUGGGACACAGACUAGAAUUCAAGAAGACAAAACUUGCAGAAUUGAGUCUGCUGCAAGGGCCACAUAAUGGACACAUGUGCGACGAUGAGGGUAGUGCCAUAGUAAAUUUCAUUGGAUUAGCAGCUCCAGAACGCAAACAGAAACCCGGACGACCAACAAACAGCAGAGACAAGCCUCCGUACAACGACCAAUCUGCAAAGAGCAGAAAUUUUUUGGUUACAUCACAACUCGAUGCAGUUGUCGGAUGCGGCACAAGAAAACGAACACGGUUCUGCAUUAUAUGCCGUGGCCUGGACACAAAAGCACAACAUGUCCACAAAGAGGGGACACGCCUCAAAAGAAAAGGAAAGAACCGAAAUGCUCAAUCUGCGGAGUGGGAGGGCAUCGAAAGAACACCUGCAACAAUCCUAAGAUUGUGGCACUCAUGA
rnacentral:rRNA from 1 species